GGGGAAUAUUGGACAAUGGGGGGAACCCUGAUCCAGCCAUGCCGCGUGUGUGAAGAAGGCAUUUUUGUUGUAAAGCACUUUAAGCGAGGAGGAGGGUACUUCUGUUAAUACCAGAAAGUAUUGGACGUUACUCGCAGAAUAAGCACCGGCUAACUCUGUGCCAGCAGCCGCGGUAAUACAGAGGGUGCGAGCGUUAAUCGGAUUUACUGGGCGUAAAGCGUGCGUAGGCGGCUAAUUAAGUCAAAUGUGAAAUCCCCGAGCUUAACUUGGGAAUUGCAUUCGAUACUGGUUAGCUAGAGUAUGGGAGAGGAUGGUAGAAUUCCAGGUGUAGCGGUGAAAUGCGUAGAGAUCUGGAGGAAUACCGAUGGCGAAGGCAGCCAUCUGGCCUAAUACUGACGCUGAGGUACGAAAGCAUGGGGAGCAAAC
rnacentral:rRNA from 1 species